UACUCCUACGGGAGGCAGCAGUGGGGAAUUUUGGACAAUGGGCGAAAGCCUGAUCCAGCAAUGCCGCGUGUGUGAAGAAGGCCUUCGGGUUGUAAAGCACUUUUGUCCGGAAAGAAAUCCUUGGCUCUAAUACAGUCGGGGGAUGACGGUACCGGAAGAAUAAGCACCGGCUAACUACGUGCCAGCAGCCGCGGUAAUACGUAGGGUGCAAGCGUUAAUCGGAAUUACUGGGCGUAAAGCGUGCGCAGGCGGUUUGCUAAGACCGAUGUGAAAUCCCCGGGCUCAACCUGGGAACUGCAUUGGUGACUGGCAGGCUAGAGUAUGGCAGAGGGGGGUAGAAUUCCACGUGUAGCAGUGAAAUGCGUAGAGAUGUGGAGGAAUACCGAUGGCGAAGGCAGCCCCCUGGGCCAAUACUGACGCUCAUGCACGAAAGCGUGGGGAGCAAACAGGAUUAGAUACCCUGGUAGUCCACGCCCUAAACGAUGUCAACUAGUUGUUGGGGAUUCAUUUCCUUAGUAACGUAGCUAACGCGUGAAGUUGACCGCCUGGGGAGUACGGUCGCAAGAUUAAAACUCAAAUGAAUUGACGGA
rnacentral:rRNA from 1 species